CCUGAGGCCCAGACCCCUGUCCUGCUCUUCUCUCCACUAACUCCCAUCCUCGAUAGACUUUCCAUGAGAGAAAGAAUGCUUGUUUUCAUACAACUAUCACCUUUUGAAGAAUACCUGGAAUAGGUUUUCCUACACCUAUACCUAUAGGUCAGAAUGUGAAGCUGAUGGCUGGAGUUGGAGCAGCCAUUUGGGACCAUGAGUUGAAUUUAGCAACAGAGGCCACAUCUCACAAUGCAAUAAGAUGGAAAGAGCAUGUCUCCUUGAAGACAGUACUGGAUAGUGUUGCCAUAUGAACUCUGGACAGCCUACUUUCAGAUUUUACGUGAAAGAUAAAUAUCUAUCUUGCUUAAGCUACUUAGAUUUUAAAUCUAUUUACUGCUGAAUAAAAUCCGAACUACUGCAAACACCAAUAUCAAAAAACUCCUAUUCACUCUGAUACAGGACUAUAGCUUAGUCUUUUUUGUGUCAUAUGUCUGUUCCUUCACCAUUUUUGCUUUGACAUUCCAUAAACAUCUCAAAUUUAACAUAUCUAUAAUUUUUUUAAAAUUUUAGGUUCAGGGGUACACGUGCAGGUUUGUGAUAUAGG